UCCAGCCCAUAGUGCACGCCGCGCCCGCCGCCGUCAUCGCCAAGCCUGCUGCCACCAGCUACGCCUCCUUCCAACAGAUCGUCCACCCAGUGGCUCAACAAGUCGUCCACGCUGCCCCAGUGGUUUCCCAACCGAUAGUCCACGCUGCCCCAGUCGUCUCCCAACCGAUAGUCCAAGCUGUCGCCCAACCGGUCUACCAACAAGUCCACGCUGCGCCGGUAGUGCAGGCCUACUCGCAGCCGAUUGUGCAAUCUUAUGGCCACGGCUGGUAACGCAUCUAAUAAUAUGAGAUUGUAAAUAUUUUGUUCUUCCUUAUUUAAGCGUUGAGAUCAUGUCCGUGCUGUUGUUGUGGUGCUAAUAAACAGUUUUACUAUCAGUAUUGAA